rnacentral:rRNA from 1 species
GGUUAAGCGACUAAGCGUACACGGUGGAUGCCCUGGCAGUCAGAGGCGAUGAAGGACGUGCUAAUCUGCGAAAAGCGUCGGUAAGGUGAUAUGAACCGUUAUAACCGGCGAUGUCCGAAUGGGGAAACCCAGUGCAAUUCGUUGCACUAUCGUUAACUGAAUACAUAGGUUAACGAGGCGAACCGGGGGAACUGAAACAUCUAAGUACCCCGAGGAAAAGAAAUCAACCGAGAUUCCCCCAGUAGCGGCGAGCGAACGGGGAGCAGCCCAGAGUCUGAAUCAGCUUGUGUGUUAGUGGAACGGUCUGGAAAGUCCGACGGUACAGGGUGAUAGUCCCGUACACCAAAAUGCACAGGUUGUGAACUCGAAGAGUAGGGCGGGACACGUGGUAUCCUGUCUGAAUAUGGGGGGACCAUCCUCCAAGGCUAAAUACUCCUGACUGACCGAUAGUGAACCAGUACCGUGAGGGAAAGGCGAAAAGAACCCCGGCGAGGGGAGUGAAAAAGAACCUGAAACCGUGUACGUACAAGCAGUGGGAGCACCUUCGGGUGUGACUGCGUACCUUUUGUAUAAUGGGUCAGCGACUUAUAUUCUGUAGCAAGGUUAACCGUAUAGGGGAGCCGCAGGGAAACCGAGUCUUAACUGGGCGUUAAGUUGCAGGGUAUAGACCCGAAACCCGGUGAUCUAGCCAUGGGCAGGUUGAAGGUUGGGUAACACUAACUGGAGGACCGAACCGACUAAUGUUGAAAAAUUAGCGGAUGACUUGUGGCUGGGGGUGAAAGGCCAAUCAAACCGGGAGAUAGCUGGUUCUCCCCGAAAGCUAUUUAGGUAGCGCCUCGUGAACUCAUCUUCGGGGGUAGAGCACUGUUUCGGCUAGGGGGUCAUCCCGACUUACCAACCCGAUGCAAACUACGAAUACCGAAGAAUGUUAUCACGGGAGACACACGGCGGGUGCUAACGUCCGUCGUGAAGAGGGAAACAACCCAGACCGCCAGCUAAGGUCCCAAAGUCAUGGUUAAGUGGGAAACGAUGUGGGAAGGCACAGACAGCCAGGAUGUUGGCUUAGAAGCAGCCAUCAUUUAAAGAAAGCGUAAUAGCUCACUGGUCGAGUCGGCCUGCGCGGAAGAUGUAACGGGGCUAAACCAUGCACCGAAGCUGCGGCAGCGACACUAUGUGUUGUUGGGUAGGGGAGCGUUCUGUAAGCCUGCGAAGGUGACCUGUGAGGGUUGCUGGAGGUAUCAGAAGUGCGAAUGCUGACAUAAGUAACGAUAAAGCGGGUGAAAAGCCCGCUCGCCGGAAGACCAAGGGUUCCUGUCCAACGUUAAUCGGGGCAGGGUGAGUCGACCCCUAAGGCGAGGCCGAAAGGCGUAGUCGAUGGGAAACAGGUUAAUAUUCCUGUACUUGGUGUUACUGCGAAGGGGGGACGGAGAAGGCUAUGUUAGCCGGGCGACGGUUGUCCCGGUUUAAGCAUGUAGGCUGGUUGUCCAGGCAAAUCCGGAUAAUCAAGGCUGAGGUGUGAUGACGAGGCACUACGGUGCUGAAGUAACAAAUGCCCUGCUUCCAGGAAAAGCCUCUAAGCAUCAGGUAACAUUAAAUCGUACCCCAAACCGACACAGGUGGUCAGGUAGAGAAUACCAAGGCGCUUGAGAGAACUCGGGUGAAGGAACUAGGCAAAAUGGUGCCGUAACUUCGGGAGAAGGCACGCUGGUGUGUAGGUGAAGUCCCUGCGGAUGGAGCUGAGACCAGUCGAAGAUACCAGCUGGCUGCAACUGUUUAUUAAAAACACAGCACUGUGCAAACACGAAAGUGGACGUAUACGGUGUGACGCCUGCCCGGUGCCGGAAGGUUAAUUGAUGGGGUUAUCCGUAAGGAGAAGCUCUUGAUCGAAGCCCCGGUAAACGGCGGCCGUAACUAUAACGGUCCUAAGGUAGCGAAAUUCCUUGUCGGGUAAGUUCCGACCUGCACGAAUGGCGUAAUGAUGGCCAGGCUGUCUCCACCCGAGACUCAGUGAAAUUGAACUCGCUGUGAAGAUGCAGUGUACCCGCGGCAAGACGGAAAGACCCCGUGAACCUUUACUAUAGCUUGACACUGAACAUUGAGCCUUGAUGUGUAGGAUAGGUGGGAGGCUUUGAAGCGUGGACGCCAGUCUGCGUGGAGCCAACCUUGAAAUACCACCCUUUAAUGUUUGAUGUUCUAACGUUGGCCCCUUACCGGGGUUGCGGACAGUGUCUGGUGGGUAGUUUGACUGGGGCGGUCUCCUCCCAAAGCGUAACGGAGGAGCACGAAGGUUAGCUAAUCCUGGUCGGACAUCAGGAGGUUAGUGCAAUGGCAUAAGCUAGCUUGACUGCGAGCGUGACGGCGCGAGCAGGUGCGAAAGCAGGUCAUAGUGAUCCGGUGGUUCUGAAUGGAAGGGCCAUCGCUCAACGGAUAAAAGGUACUCCGGGGAUAACAGGCUGAUACCGCCCAAGAGUUCAUAUCGACGGCGGUGUUUGGCACCUCGAUGUCGGCUCAUCACAUCCUGGGGCUGAAGUAGGUCCCAAGGGUAUGGCUGUUCGCCAUUUAAAGUGGUACGCGAGCUGGGUUUAGAACGUCGUGAGACAGUUCGGUCCCUAUCUGCCGUGGGCGCUGGAGAAUUGAGGGGGGCUGCUCCUAGUACGAGAGGACCGGAGUGGACGCAUCACUGGUGUUCGGGUUGUCAUGCCAAUGGCACUGCCCGGUAGCUAAAUGCGGAAGAGAUAAGUGCUGAAAGCAUCUAAGCACGAAACUUGCCCCGAGAUGAGUUCUCCCUGAGACUUUAAGUCUCCUGAAGGAACGUUAAAGACGAUGACGUUGAUAGGCCGGGUGUGUAAGCGCAGCGAUGCGUUGAGCUAACCGGUACUAAUGAACCGUGAGGCUUAACCUU